UUUCCGGUUGAUCCCGCCGGAUUCACUUACACCACGGGGGCUUCAGUUUCUGUCCUAAUCACAGCUACGAACGUUGCCCCUACUACUAUCAACGUCAAUGGAUUGGGAGCUAAAAACGUUUAUGCAUCAGGGUCAGCCGUCGCAAGCGGGGCGUUAGUAGCAGGAAGCACGUACACUUUCCAAUACGACGGAACGAAGCUCAAUGUCGUUUCUCUCGCUACUCCCGGCGGUCCAACAAACAGUGUUCAGUACAAUACUGGCAGUGGAUUCGGGGGACUCUCUAGUUUCUUGUUUAACCCCACAACAGGAAACCUUUCCGUGUGCGCCACUUUAGGCGGAAUCUGUACGACUACUUCGGGGGUGAAUGCUUACGCCUUCAGUAGCGGUGCUACGGGCAGCAAUGUCGCUUAUACGAACGUGGCGGGAAACUUUACCAUUAACGGUGAUGGUUACGGCGCAUUUCAGGAAGUAGACGCUAACCAGAUGAUUUCUGGGUUGUACAACGCUGGAGCACAAGGGACUGUUAACACUUAAGGGACUGCUGUUACCA
rnacentral:rRNA from 1 species